GGGAGAGGCUUUUAUUUUAGAUUUGGUGGUUUUUUUCCAAGUAGGUGGUGGGGUCUGUAUUUAGAGGUUUGUAAGUGAGGUCUUGGAGUAGGUCGGAUAGUUUGGAUUGGUAGUCCGAUGUGUUCAUCAUGGCUGUGGCGUUGCCUUUGUCUGCUGGGAGAAUGAUUAUGUUGUUGUCUUUCCUCAAGUUGGUGGGUGCUUUUUGUUCUUCUCUGUGUAAGUUGCUUCUAGGUGGACUGCUGGAGCAGAGGAUGUUGGUGUUUUCAAGUCUGAUUUUAUUGGCCACAUCUGGAUUAAUUUUGGUUAGGCUAGCUUCAACUCCACAUAUGAUGUUUUCAGUGGGGAUGCAUUUGGGGGCGACUGCAAAGUUGAAUCCCUUGGAAAGGACGUUGGUUUCUGCUAUGGUGAUGGUUCUGUCUGAUAUGUUGUAUACUGCGUUGAAACCACUGGUUUC